rfam:Synergistales bacterium 54_24 S_scaffold_493, whole genome shotgun sequence.
CUCAUGGAGAGUUUGAUCCUGGCUCAGGACGAACGCUGGCGGCGUGCCUAACACAUGCAAGUCGUGCGGUC